UCACCUCCGCAGGCUGGCCAGCCCCAGGCUGGGCUGGGCAAGUAUCUCUUCGAAAGGCUCGCCCUCAAGCACGACUAGGAGC
rnacentral:pre_miRNA from 1 species